AUACGGAAGGUGCAAGCGUUAAUCGGAAUCACUGGGCGUAAAGCGCUCGUAGGUGGCUUUGUAAGUCAGGUGUGAAAGCCCACGGCUCAACCGUGGAAUUGCACUUGAUACUGCAUUGCUUGAGUUCGGGAGAGGGUAGUGGAAUUCCAGGUGUAGGAGUGAAAUCCGUAGAUAUUCGGAGGAACACCAGUGGCGAAGGCGGCUUACUGGAACGGACCUGACGGUGAGUAACGAAAGCCAGGGGCGC
rnacentral:rRNA from 1 species